CCAAAUGAGGCUCAGGGACAUCCUCCUCCAUCUGAGGCUCAGGGACAUCCUCCUCCAUCUGAGGCUCGCGGACAUCCUCCUCCAUCUGAGGCUCACGGACAUCAUCAUGGAUGUCUUGUCUUCGACGACGAUGCCUAAUUUGACGAUUUGCUUCGUUUCGUCGUCUAUUUGAUGCUGUUGGUGGAAUUCUCUCAACACCAUCACCACCUACAAUAUUGCGAAUAAUUUGGCCGAAAGCACCUCUCAUCCUAGGCACUGCAACAUAUAAAUAUAUAAAUAUUAAAAAAAAUUAUAAACAAUAAAAAAUCAAUGUAACAAUAUAUAAAUAAUGUUUCCCAAGAUAAUAUAUAAACAAUAUAUAAAUAAUAUUUCCCAUUUAGUUUCAAAAAAUUAUAAAUAAUAUAUAAAAGUAUGUUUCAAAAAUUUGGGUUUAUCCAAACUUUCGAAAGUAUGUUUCGAAACUUUCCCUCAACUUCGAACAUUUUCCAGGCAUUUCGAAACUUUCCCUGGCCUUGCAUUUCGAAGAUUUCAAAUUCAAGAAACUUUCGAAAGUUUCUUGUUUCGAAGAUUUCAAAAUAUUCGAGGAUUGCAUUUCGAAGAUUUCAAAUUCAAGGAACUUUCGAAAGUUUCUUGUUUCGAAGAUUUCAAAAUAUUCGAGGAUUGCAUUUCGAAGAUUUCAAAUUCAAGAAACUUUCGAAAGUUUCUUGUUUCGAAGAUUUCAAAAUAUUCGAGGAUUGCAUUUCGAAGAUUUCAAAUUCAAGAAACUUUCGAAAGUUUCUUGUUUCGAAGAUUUCAAAAUAUUCGAGGAUUGCAUUUCGAAGAUUUCAAAUUCAAGAAACUUUCGAAAGUUUCUUGUUUCGAAGAUUUCAAAAUAUUCGAGGAUUGCAUUUCGAAGAUUUCAAAUUCAAGAAACUUUCGAAAGUUUCUUGUUUCGAAGAUUUCAAAAUAUUCGAGGAUUGCAUUUCGAAGAUUUCAAAUUCAAGAAACUUUCGAAAGUUUCUUGUUUCGAAGAUUUCAAAAUAUUCGAGGAUUGCAUUUCGAAGAUUUCAAAUUCAAGAAACUUUCGAAAGUUUCUUGUUUCGAAGAUUUCAAAAUAUUCGAGGAUUGCAUUUCGAAGAUUUCAAAUUCAAGGAAACUUUCGAAACUUUCUUGUGUUUCGAAUCUUCCAAAUCUUCGAUGGAUGCAUUUCGAAAGUUUCAAAAAAUUGCAAAGUUUCGAAAAUGAACUUACUUUUGCGUUUCGAAUCUUUCAGAUCUUCGAAGGUUGGGUUGAAUUUGGAUCGGAUAUUUGAAAUUUUCGAAUGAUUUGGUGAAAAAUGUGGGUAAAUUUUUUUUUUGGUUUAUAUAUGAGAUGGAGGGUAAAAUAGUCUUUUAAUCAUGACUGGGGGUGGCAGGUAAAAUUGGGGGGGUGCCUGGUACAAAACUCCCGGUUGGAUCGUCGAUCAGAGGUUUGAUGUGGGAAACAUUGAGCUCAGACAGUAGCAGGUUUUUCUGUUGAACUUUGUUCUCAAUUUCAUACUUGUUUUCUCAUUGUUUUGGUUGAUUGUUGUGCUGGUUACCUUGCUGUUUUUGGCUGGUUACUGAGCACGAAUUUGUGCCAUAUUUGAAACUCUCUUGUACCCAUAUUUUGAUCAUAGUGGAGCUCUAUUACUGGUUUGGUCUCGUGGUUGUUUACUUCUCACAUUGAGAAGGUUUUUCCACGUUAAAAAUUAUUGUGUCAUUUGUGGUAGUGAUUUUAGUUGCUGUGAUUAUUUGUUGAUUGCUCCUCACAGAUUCUUGCAAGUUUGGGAAAUUGAUUAUCCGCUGCAUAUUGCUCUGUUAGAGUUGUUAUUAUAUUUGUUGUUGAAUUUCCCAUCAGAGUGGCAUCAGAGCUCUUUGGUUAAGGGGAUGUUUGACUUGUUUGAAUGAUGGAGGCAAAUACAAAUAGAAUGAUUUAUUUGAAUGGCACUAAUUAUCACUUAUGGAAGGGAAAAAUGAAGGAUAUGUUAUUUGUGAAGAAUUUGCAUCUUCUUGUGUUUGCUAUUGAGAAGCCAUAAUCCAAGAUUGAUGACGAUUGGAGUUUUGAACAUCAGCAGGUUUGUGGUUUUAUUCGGUAAUAUGUAGAAGACAAUGUUUAUAAUCACAUUGCUAAUGAGGAACAUGCAAGAUCCUUGUGGAAGAAGAUUGAAUCUUUGUAUGCUUCUAAAUCAGGGAAUAAUAAGUUUUAUUUGUUGAACUCCUUGAUGAAUUUGAGGUACAAGGAGGGGACUUCUAUUUCAGAUCAUUUAAAUGAUUUUCAAGGGCUCCUAGAUCAAUUGUCAGGUAUGGGUAUCAAAUUUGAUGAUGAAGUGUUGGGACUAUGGCUACUGAAUACUCUACCAGAUUCUUGGGAAACUUUUCGGGUUUCAAUUACAAACUCAGCUUCUGAUGGUGUUGUCUCUUUGCAAAGUGUAAAGGGAAGUGUUCUUAAUGAGGAGAUGAGAAGGAAGGCACAAGGUACUUCAUCUCAUUCCGAGGUACUUGUCACUGAGAACAGGGGCCGAAGUCAAAGAAAGGAACCGAAAGGGAAUAGACAGAAUAACAGAAGUGCGAGUAGAGAGAACAACAGAAGUAAGUCCAAGUCCAGAUACAAGAAUGUGGAGUGCAAUUAUUGUCACAAAAUGGGGCACAUAUAGAGGAACUGCUUCAUAUGGAAAAGGGAGAGCAAAAACAAUAACAGUAAGCAGAGAGAUAAGAAUCAUGAUGAUGAUGAUCGUGUUACUAUUGCUACUUGUGAUGAUCUGAUUAUUCUCCGUGACUAUGACUCAGUCAAUCUUGUAUCAAAUGAGAGCAUGUGGAUUGUUGAUAGUGGUGAUACACUGCAUGUUACACCAAGGAAGGAGUUCUUCACAUCUUACACUUCUGGUGACUUUGGAGUGUUGAAGAUGGGUAAUGAUGGUGUGUCCAAGGUAGUUGGUAUUGGUGAUGUUUAUUUGCAGACCAACAUGGGAGUGCAGUUGUUGCUUAGAGGAGUCAAACAUGCUCCAGAUGUUCGCUUUAAUUUGAUCUCUGUGCAGAUGCUUGAUGAUGGUGGUUUUGAUAAUCACUUUGGUUCAGGAAAAUGGAAACUCACCAGAAGUAACUUAGUUGUGGCCAGAUGGGAGAAAAUUAAUAAACUGUAUUGGACUAAAGCAUUGGUUGCUAAAGACAGUGUGAAUUUCAUGGAUAUGGAGGCUUCUUUGUGGCACCGCAGGCUUAGUCAUAUUAGUGAAAAGGGGCUGAAUUGUUUAGCUAAAAAGGAUGUACUUCCGGGAUUAAAGAGUGCAGAGUUGGAGAAAUGUUCUCAUUGCAUGGCUGGUAAGCAGACUAGAGUAUCCUUCAAGAAACAUCAUCCCUCAAGAAAGUCAGAGUUGCUUGAAUUGGUGCAUUCUGAUGUUUGUGGCCCGUUGAAGGUAAAGUCAAUUAGUGGUGCACUUUACUUUAUUACUUUUAUUGAUGAUUGUUCUAGAAAGCUUUGGGUCUAUGCUUUGAAGACAAAAGACCAAGUUCUGGAGAAAUUCAAAGAGUUCCAUGUUAUGGUGGAGAGACAGUCAGGCAAGAAGUUGAAAUGCAUUCGUACUGACAAUGGUGGUGAGUAUUGUGGACCAUUUGAUGUUUAUUGCAAGCAGCACGGUAUCAGACAUGAAAAGACUCCUCCUAAAACCCCUCAGCUGAAUGGUUUAGCAGAGAGAAUGAACAGGACAUUGAUUGAAAGAGUUAGGUGUAUGCUUUCUGAAGCAAAGUUGCCUAAGCAUUUCUGGGGUGAAGCAUUGUACAUGGCAGUGCAUGUUAUUAAUCUGAGUCCUGCAGCUGCUUUGAAUGCUGAGGUGCCAGACAAGAUUUGGUUUGGCAAGAAUGUCAGGUAUGAUCAUUUGCGUGUCUUCGGUUGCAAAGCAUAUGUGCAUGUUCCAAAGGAUGAGAGAUCCAAGUUGGAUGGGAAGACAAGACAGUGCAUCUUUAUCGGUUAUGGUCAGGAUGAAUUUGGCUACAAGCUGUUUGAUCCAGUUGAGAAGAAAGCUGUUAGAAGCCGUGAUGUGAAGUUCAUGGAAGACCAAACCAUUGAAGACAUUGAUAAGAUGGAGAAGACUACACCUGAGAUUGAUAAUGGUUUGUCUGAUGUUGAUCCAGUUCGGAUGCCUACACAUGAUCUGGAUACUGCUGAAAAUAAUGUUCAGAAUGAUGAGCAACAUGGUGAUGUUGGUGAUCAGCAGCUUGGAGAUGAUUUUGAUGUUCCUAAUGAUGAUGCUGAAGAAGAACAUGAGAUGUCACAAGAUGAGGAUCUUGGUGAUGCUCCUGAACCACCUCAAGCUCAAGUUUGGAGGUCUACUAGGCAGAGGAAACCAUCCACCAGGUAUCCUUCUGAUGACUAUGUUACCUUGACUGAUGGAGGCGAACCUGAAUGUUAUGAUGAAGCCAUGGAGAGUGAUGAAAAGAAGAAGUGGUUGGAUGCUAUGCAAGAUGAAAUGAAGUCUUUGCAUGAUAAUCACACUUUUGAUUUGGUGAAACUACCUAAGGGAAAGAAGGCUUUGGAAAACAGGUGGAUCUUCAGAGUGAAGCAAGAAAACAAUUCUACAUCUUCAAGAUAUAAAGCCAGAUUAGUUGUGAAAGGUUUCAGACAGAGAAAGGGUGUUGAUUUCAAUGAGAUUUUUUCUCCUGUGGUGAAGAUGUCAUCCAUUAGAACUGUGUUGAGUUUGGCUGCUACUCUUGAUUUGGAGGUAGAGCAAAUGGAUGUAAAAACUGCUUUCCUUCAUGGUGAUUUGGAGGAAGAGAUUUACAUGAAGCAACCUGAUGGUUUUCUUGUUAAAGGCAAAGAAGACUAUGUGUGUAGGCUCAGAAAGAGUCUAUAUGGUUUGAAGCAGGCCCCGCGUCAGUGGUACAAGAAGUUUGAGUCAGUUAUGUGUGAGCAAGGCUACAGGAAGACUACUUCUGAUCACUGUGUCUUUGUUAAAAAGUUUGCUGAUGAUGAUUUCAUUAUCUUGUUAUUGUAUGUUGAUGACAUGCUUAUUGUUGGGAAAAAUAUUUCCAUGAUUAACAGGUUGAAGAAGCAAUUGGGCGAGUCAUUUGCCAUGAAAGACAUGGGAGCUGCUAAGCAGAUUCUUGGUAUAAGAAUCAUGCGUGACAGGAACAAGAAGAAACUUUGGCUGUCACAAGAACACUAUGUUGAAAGACUGUUACAGAGGUUCCAGAUGGAAUAUGCUAAGGCUGUAAGUACUCCUCUUGCUACUCAUUUUAAAUUGAGUACUAGUCAGAGUCCUACCAAUGAAGCUGAAAAAUCAGAUAUGCAACGAGUUCCUUAUGCAUCUGCUGUGGGUAGUUUAAUGUAUGCAAUGGUGUGUACAAGGCCUGAUAUUGCACAUGCUGUUGGUACAGUUAGUAGAUUUCUGUCUAAUCCAGGUAGAGAGCAUUGGAAUGCUGUGAAAUGGAUUUUGAGGUAUCUUCGUGGUACUACCAGUUUGAGGCUUUGUUUUGGAGGUGAUAAGCCUACUCUUGUGGGAUAUACUGAUUCUGAUAUGGCUGGAGACAUUGAUUCCAGAAAGUCUACUUCAGGCUACUUGAUUAAGCUUGCAGGGGGAGCUGUGGCAUGGCAAUCCAGAUUGCAGAGGUGUGUUGCAUUGUCCACUACUGAGGCAGAGUUCAUUGCCAUUACAGAAGCAUGCAAGGAAUUGUUAUGGUUGAGGAAAUUCUUGCAGGAGCUUGGUUUUGUUCAAGAUAAGUAUUUGCUAUUUUGUGAUAGUCAAAGUGCAAUUCAUCUUGGUAAGAACUCAACCUUUCAUUCUAGGUCCAAGCACAUUGAUGUUAGGUAUCAUUGGAUACGUGAUGUUUUGGAUGCUGGAUUGUUGGAAUUGGCCAAGAUUCAUACAGAUGAUAAUGGUGCUGAUAUGAUGACCAAGGCAUUACCGAGAAGCAAGUUUGAAACUUGUUGUGAGAUCGCCGGUUUGGCGGUCACCUCCACAUAGUUGUGAGGGAAGAUAUGUUGGGUUUUGGGCUCCCUUCCUAUGUGGAGAAAGACCCAAUAUGUGCAAGAAGUGCGAAAGUACUUUGUGGAUAAAAUAAUAAAGACACUUGAGCAAGUCUUCAAUACCAAAGUCUUGCUGGAGAGAAGUUAUAUUGAGUAUUGACUUUGAUUUGACAAUUAAGUUAUAUUUUGAGUGUUUACUUUGAUUUGACAAGUUUUUAUCAGGUUACUUCGCGAGAGAUGUCAUCUUCUCGUAUUUUUUCUCCUUUUUUUUUUCCUUUGAUUUUUAAGAUCCGAAUUUUUUUUUAUUGGACUCGGGUUUUUGGGGUGGCUGGUAGAGUCGCAAUUCAACGCAUAAUUUACUUACCCAUAUCACCCACGCGAAUAACAUAUUAAUUAUUUUUAUUUUUAUUAUUAUUAUUAUUAUUAUAUAAAAAUAUUUGUAUAUAUAUUUAUAUACAACACAAAAGUAUCAAUAAAAAUAUAGAUUUUAUCAUACUAAUAAUAUUUAUAUUACUAAUUUAAAUAUACAAAUAAAAGUUUAAAAAAAUUUAGCUAAAUUAACUAUUUUUAAGUUUUUAGGUGGAAUAAAAAAGUUCCAUAUAUAUAUAUAUAUAUAUAUAUAUAUAUAUAUAUAUAUACCUAUUUAAAGUUAGUAAUUAAUUUGUUAAAAGAUCAGUGUUCUAAAUUUUAUUUUGUAUUCAUUCAAAUAAUUUUAAGUUUAGUAAUUAAUUUUUGUUUUGUUUUAAUUCUAUUAAUAUUGUUAAAUCAAAUAAAUAGUUACAUAAAGAUCAAUAUAAUUUUUGGAUAAUUUAAAUUCUUUAAUUUAUUAUUUUUACAAUUUAAUAUUAAGUAACCUUGAAUAUUUUUUUAAUUGUGUUGAAAUAAUAUAGCAUUUUAUUAUUUAACAAUUUAUUUUAAUUAUAAUAUUGGUACAAGGUACGCAAAGGAUUACUAAGUACAUAAAUAAUAAAUAUACGAAGAUUAAGAUUAAUUCUCGUAUAAAUCUGGUGUAUAUGGAGUCAUGUUUUUCAUCAAUAAAUUAGAUUGACCUGUUUUUAAAUUAGAUUUAAGAUUAGAUUUUUUUACUGUAAAUUAUUUUUUUAAUUAAUAAAUUAAUAUAACAAUUUUUUUAUUAAAAUAGUUUCCGUACGAAGCACGGAUUACCUAGUAAUUUAAUAUUAUUUUUUAGAUUUCAAACUUAAUUUUUUAUUUUAAUGAAGACGAUAUAGAGUUAAUUGGCGAUACUUAAAUCCAACUUUUCCAAUUUAAAAGUUCAUCUCCAUACGAGAUUUGUAGGCCCAACCCAAAGCCCAACCCAACAUGAUCUAUAUACAUAAAAGCUCAAACAAUUAAACUGAUUCUUUUCACUUUCUCGCAAGUUCGGAAACCUUUCCUUCACUUUCUCAUCAUCCAAACACCAAAACCAUCAACAACCAUGACAACAAUCAGUCUCCGGAAGGGAAACACACGUCUUCCACCGGAAGUUAACCGCGUCCUCUACGUUCGCAACCUUCCCUUCAACAUAACAAGCGAAGAAAUGUACGAUAUAUUCGGCAAAUACGGUGCUAUUCGUCAGAUCCGAAUCGGAACUAACAAAGACACGCGCGGCACCGCUUUUGUCGUUUACGAAGACAUUUACGACGCUAAAACUGCCGUCGAUCAUCUCUCUGGUUUCAAUGUCGCUAAUCGAUAUCUCAUCGUUCUUUAUUAUCAGCAUGCUAAGAUGAGUAAGAAGUUUGAUCAGAAGAAGAAGGAAUUUCGUAAAUUUUAUUGACAUUAAAAAAAUAAGUUAACUUAAAAAAAAUUUACAAUAAAAAAAUUUAAAAAAUCUAAUUAUAACUUAACUUAAAAAUUAAUUUCUUAUAAGCUCUAUGUUAUCGAUGAAAAGUAUGACUCCAACACCAUGCCUUUUUUUUUGAAUUCUACAAAGAAUCUUUUUUCUUUCCAAAAAAUUUAUUAUAAAAUAAUAUUUUUAAUUUUAAACAAAUAAAAAUAAUAAUUAUUAAAAAAAAUUAAAUAAUUAGAUUAGAUGAAAUAAGAAUUUUUAAAACAAUGGACAUGGACAUAUAUAAAAUAAAUUAUUAUUUUUCUCUUCAAUAUUCUGGAAAUUUAAUUGGAUUCAUGGCUAAGAAGCUUAAAUAAAUUUUAUAUUUACUUAAAUAAAUUAUUAUUUUUUAUUUAAUAUAACUAUGUGCCAACACCAUUUAUUAACUAUUUAUGAGAGAAUUUAAGAGAAUAGAAAUAGAGUUAGUAAGACAAAUCUUAUAUAAGAGAAUAGAAAUAGAGUUAGUAAGAGAAAUCUUGUAUAAGAGAAUAGAAAUAUAAAUAUACAAAUGUACAAUUUGUUGACUAUUUAUUAGUGAAUUUAAAAUCGGAGUUAUUAAGACAAAUGUUAUAUAAGAGAAUAGAAAUUUACAUAUACACAUUUACAAUUUUUUGAGACAAAAUUAAGAAACAUAAACAAUACAAAAUAUAUAUACAUAACAAAAUAGUAAUCUUUUUUUAUAAAUAAAAUAAAAUAACAAUGAUAGAUUGAAAAAAAUUUACCAUUCAAGUAAUUCGUGUGAACAUAUACUCCAGAAAGUUGCUAGACGCAACACGAACAAAUACAUAGUUUCACCAGGAAUACUCUAUUGCAUAAAGGUCGAUGGAACAAUGUAGGCAAGGGAAGUCGGCAAAAUGGAUCCGUAACCUCGGGAAAAUGAUUGACUUUGACGGCUGGCUAUGGAUUUAAAGAUGUUGUUGUUAGAAAUAGAAAUAUGAAUUUAUUUAAAUAAUAAUUAGUUUUUUCUUGAUUUUGUUUGAAGAUAAUGAUGAAUUUUUUAGAUUUUUAUAAAAAAUAUAUUAUUGACAUUUUAAAAUAUACUUAUUUAAAAUUAAAUAAAUAAUUAAUUAAAAAAUAAAAAUUAUUAUUAAAAUUAAUUUAAAAAAGUGCGAAAGUACUUUGUGGAUAAAAUAAUAAAGACACUUGAGCAAGUCUUCAAUACCAAAGUCUUGCUGGAGAGAAGUUAUAUUGAGUAUUGACUUUGAUUUGACAAUUAAGUUAUAUUUUGAGUGUUUACUUUGAUUUGACAAGUUUUUAUCAGGUUACUUCGCGAGAGAUGUCAUCUUCUCGUAUUUUUUCUCCUUUUUUUUUUCCUUUGAUUUUUAAGAUCCGAAUUUUUUUUUAUUGGACUCGGGUUUUUGGGGUGGCUGGUAGAGUCGCAAUUCAACGCAUAAUUUACUUACCCAUAUCACCCACGCGAAUAACAUAUUAAUUAUUUUUAUUUUUAUUAUUAUUAUUAUUAUUAUAUAAAAAUAUUUGUAUAUAUAUUUAUAUACAACACAAAAGUAUCAAUAAAAAUAUAGAUUUUAUCAUACUAAUAAUAUUUAUAUUACUAAUUUAAAUAUACAAAUAAAAGUUUAAAAAAAUUUAGCUAAAUUAACUAUUUUUAAGUUUUUAGGUGGAAUAAAAAAGUUCCAUAUAUAUAUAUAUAUAUAUAUAUAUAUAUAUAUAUAUAUAUAUAUAUAUAGAGAGAAUCAAUAUAAUUUUUGGAUAAUUUAAAUUCUUUAAUUUAUUAUUUUUACAAUUUAAUAUUAAGUAACCUUGAAUAUUUUUUUAAUUGUGUUGAAAUAAUAUAGCAUUUUAUUAUUUAACAAUUUAUUUUAAUUAUAAUAUUGGUACAAGGUACGCAAAGGAUUACUAAGUACAUAAAUAAUAAAUAUACGAAGAUUAAGAUUAAUUCUCGUAUAAAUCUGGUGUAUAUGGAGUCAUGUUUUUCAUCAAUAAAUUAGAUUGACCUGUUUUUAAAUUAGAUUUAAGAUUAGAUUUUUUUACUGUAAAUUAUUUUUUUAAUUAAUAAAUUAAUAUAACAAUUUUUUUAUUAAAAUAGUUUCCGUACGAAGCACGGAUUACCUAGUAAUUUAAUAUUAUUUUUUAGAUUUCAAACUUAAUUUUUUAUUUUAAUGAAGACGAUAUAGAGUUAAUUGGCGAUACUUAAAUCCAACUUUUCCAAUUUAAAAGUUCAUCUCCAUACGAGAUUUGUAGGCCCAACCCAAAGCCCAACCCAACAUGAUCUAUAUACAUAAAAGCUCAAACAAUUAAACUGAUUCUUUUCACUUUCUCGCAAGUUCGGAAACCUUUCCUUCACUUUCUCAUCAUCCAAACACCAAAACCAUCAACAACCAUGACAACAAUCAGUCUCCGGAAGGGAAACACACGUCUUCCACCGGAAGUUAACCGCGUCCUCUACGUUCGCAACCUUCCCUUCAACAUAACAAGCGAAGAAAUGUACGAUAUAUUCGGCAAAUACGGUGCUAUUCGUCAGAUCCGAAUCGGAACUAACAAAGACACGCGCGGCACCGCUUUUGUCGUUUACGAAGACAUUUACGACGCUAAAACUG
rnacentral:lncRNA from 1 species